rnacentral:rRNA from 1 species
UACGUAGGGUGCAGGCGUUAAUCGGAAUUACUGGGCGUAAAGCGUGCGCAGGCGUCUAUUAAGACAGGUGUGAAAUCCCCGGGCUUAACCUGGGAACUGCGCUUGUAACUGAUAGGCUUGAGUGUGGCAGAGGGGGGUGGAAUUCCAGGUGUAGCAGUGAAAUGCGUAGAUAUCUGGAGGAACACCGAUGGCGAAGGCAGCCCCCUGGGCUAACACUGACGCUCAUGCACGAAAGCGUGGGGAGCAAACAGG